UACAGAGGGUGCAAGCGUUGUUCGGAAUCAUUGGGCGUAAAGCGCGCGUAGGCGGUCUUGUAAGUCAUAUGUGAAAGCCCGGGGCUUAACCUCGGAAGUGCAUUUGAUACUGCAAGACUUGAAUCCCGGAGGGGGUGGUAGAAUUCCCGGUGUAGAGGUGAAAUUCGUAGAUAUCGGGAGGAAUACCAGUGGCGAAGGCGACCACCUGGACGGAGAUUGACGCUGAGGUGCGAAAGCGUGGGGAGCAAACAGG
rnacentral:rRNA from 1 species